GCGGGAGUGGCCCAGCCCGGACGGGUCCCCGGCUUCUAACCGGGUAGAACGCGGGUUCAAAUCCCGCCUCCCGCUCCA
rnacentral:tRNA from 1 species